UAGAACACAGGCGUUGACUCUUGGUUCACUGUUCUGAACAUCCAGCCAGAUUGCUUUCUCUGCAGGGCACAUUCACAUCAGUCAGUAAUCUUAAGGGAUAUCUUUACUGCAGAUUUAAGCCAACUGAUCAGUAUCAACUACUCAUAUACAGCUAGCACAGUAUUCCCGCUGCAAAGCUCUGCUACUCGUCCCUCUCUGCCCAUGUUCAUUUAGGUACAUAUCACAAGGCUCUUCGUGUUGAAAUGCUCUAGGAUUCCACCUUGUCAACUGUGAGAGAAUUUGUCUAUCUUUUAGGAGAAUUGUGGGGAGGCUUUGGAAGAUGGUCAUCACUAGUCCGCACUGCAGAGAGAAUGGCUUCAUGCCCUAUUUGGAAGCCACAAGGCUCUAUCUUACACCUCCUGCCAGAUAUCCCAACCCAAGCUAAUGACAUCUCCAUGCCAGAAAAGUAAGGAUGAAGGAACAAGUUUUGCCCCACAGGCUGUGAGACCACAGUUAUUCUCAAUACCUUCAUGAGCCAGUGCCAUACUGUUGGGUAAUUUAGACCAAGCCCACAGCCAGCACUAAAGAAGAGUUGUGUGAUCCUGAAUCUCACCGUCAGUCGGUACAGGAAGGAGAUAUUCCCUGCCGCUGCUACAGAUCCAUUACUGCUGACAUUGAUUGAGUGGAAGAUUCUUCUUUUGAAUCAGGCAUGUGCAAAGCAAUUGACAGGGCUGCUCAAAGACCAGUGUGCACCUCAGAAGCUUAGAAGAGGACAUACAGGUUACAAUGUGUGGUAGAUAUCUGGAUAUAACUACAAAGUAGAGCAUGUUUGAACUGUUUCUUUUCUUUGGAAGGGCAAUAAGAACAGGAAGAGAGAGUUUUUCUGGAUUUGCCAAAAGUUAAGUCAUUACUGAUACAAACAAUAUCUCAGGUUACUGUUUGGGUUUAGAAACAUUUAUGAAUUGCACUGGAUUGAACUCUUCAACUCUGAACUUCAACCCCAACUCCCUCCCUCACCGACACCAAAGGGUCAUUUCUAUUCUUUGCAUUAUGUCAGUGGGGACACCCCAGAGCUGUUGCAUAUAUGUUUAGAUGGUGGUGGCAAGUUGGAGGCCCUGAACUCCUUUGGUCUGGUGCUGCUGAAAAAUGAUUUAAUUUGGAACCACUGUGAGCAUUCAAGAUGUUUUACUGGAGGUGGAUGUAAAGCCAAAUUCCAAAUGCACAUGGUUAGAAUUUAGUUGCAGACUAUGUAAACACACAGAAGCAAUGGAAAACUCCUGAUGUACUAUUGCAUGUUGUUUGACCAGUUUUAAGAAAAUUGUCUGUGUGAGCACAGGGGCUUUGCACACAAAUUGUUAAUGCUUUAUUCAGCCUAACAUUUUAUUUUUGGUCUAUCAACAUUUCAGAUCUGAUGAACAAGAUCUGCCAAAUAUAGGUACUCAUCACUGUUGCUCUCUCUCCAAAAGUUCACUCUAUACUAAGAUGCUAUUGAUGGGUUGAUAGUGUGAAAUGGUGCCACUGGCUCUGAACUAGCAAAAGGCAAGUAGCAAAAGUUAUUUAGUGGAUGCAUGCAAUUAAUGCUGCAAAGUGAUAAGCUCCAGAGUACUUUGAGUCAGACUAUACUGCUCCUGAGCACAGCAUCUGUAUGUGUGCCCAAGGCAGCAGCGCUUUGAGCCAGGGCAGAGCAGGCCCAGGCUGGCAGCAAGCUCAGGGGAAGUCAGCCCUGGGCUCUGAGUAGUGGCAGUGGGUGGAAGAGGGGAUGGCUAGAGCACGAGAGUGCCAAACAUGCAGAGCCGUGUGGCUAGGUGGCAGGCAAGAGUCUGGCUCCCUGAUGCCUGGGCUGACUGAGUGCAAUUUCCACCCAUGGUCCCUGUCUAUAUGAGUAUUUGAUCUCAGUUAUUUACUUUGCCAUAGGAUAGU